AGUGAACGCUGGCGGUAGGCCUAAUACAUGCAAGUCGAACGGCCGCACAGUAAGCUCUUGCUCUUACGGUUGGCGAGUGGCGGACGGGUGAGGAAUACAUAGGCAUCUACUUUUUCGUGGGGGAUAACGUAGGGCCAGUUACGCUACUACCGCAUAUGACCUACGGGUGAAAGCAGGAGAUCUUCGGACCUUUCGCGAUUGUAUGAGCCGAUGUCGGAUUAGCUAGUUGGCGUGGUAAAGGCAUACCAAGGCAACGAUCCGUAGCUGAUCUGAGAGGAUGAUCGGCCACACUGGAACUGAGACACGGUCCAGACUCCUACGGGAGGCAGCAGUAGGGAAUAUUGGGCAAUGGGCGCAAGCCUGACCCAGCCAUGCCGCGUGAGUGAUGAAGGCCUUCGGAUCGUAAAGCCCUUUUAUUAGGAAAGAAAAACAGUGUAAUAAUCCACCGAUGUUCUGACGGUACCCAAAGAAUAAGCACCGGCUAACUUCGUG
rnacentral:rRNA from 1 species